rnacentral:lncRNA from 1 species
UAAAUAUUGUUUUUCCCAGUGUUCAGACCAGGGUAGAGGAAAGGAGCAAGAGCACUACAGUUUGCCCUCUGGCUGCCAGCAAACCAUCUUAGGAUUCAUUCUGAAUGUUUCAGGUUUCUGAUUCAGAGCCUGAAACUUGACUCAAAACAGGAUCAAAAUCUAGAUGAAAUUCAUCAGAAACUAUGGUCCUCUGGAAGAAAAGGCUACAAGAAUCAGUUUGACCCUAAACAGAACUCCUUGACCUGGAAGCUGCAGCUCAUGGAGAACCUGCCCCUC